GGGUGGCGAAGCGCCGCCGGGCGCUUGGUGGCCGCUGCCGCCGCCACUGCAGCUGUGCACGCCCGCCUCUCGGAGGAAACUUGAAGCCAGCAGUACAAGCAGGGCUGGAGGCCGAGCGGAGGUGGGGCGGGACCGGUUGGAGCAGGGACUCUUUAAACACGUGCGUCUGGAGGAGGUGGGAAGCUGCGGAAGGGUAUGGUGUGUGCCUCGCGCCUAAACGCCGCAGCCGCCCCUCCCGGUUCUUGCAGUUUCGCCUAUCGGAGUGGGAAGUGUGGGGACUUGGGGCGUUGCCUAGUGUUGGUUGGGGAUACAGUGCAAGCCUUGGAUCCCAAAGCUGCUUGGAUGGAUUUUACCAAACUGUAGCAUACUCAGUGCUUAGGGCUGCGUUUACUGCUCUGCUCCCAGACCCUGCAAAAUUCUCCAUUAACGUCCUUCCGUUGCAUCCUCUACCCUCCCCAGCCAUCCGACCUUGGGACUAGGGAAACGUGGACUUGGUGGGCUAUUCUGCGCUGAAGAGGCAGCAACGAGGGCUCGGUGGUAUUGGUGUUGGUCCUAGUGGAAUUGUCAAGAGGAUGCUUUUGAAGUGGCCCAGCAUCUUGGAAGUUCACCAUGCUUGCUUUGCAAGAGAUUCCUGACGCUGCAGUGAAAGAGGUCCAGUCAUUCCAGAGAGAACUUCAGUUUCAGACAAGUCAUCAAAUCCAGAAAGCAAGGAAAAAUACCCUGAAAGACGACUGGCAAAUCUCGGUGAAAGAGUAGACGCACUUCAUGGAUUGGAGUGAAUCUUAGAGCACCUGACCUGAUGCCUGGAGGUACAGCAGCCAUCUUGUGACCAUAAGGAGGAAAUCAACGCAUUAAGAAGGGAAAAG
rnacentral:lncRNA from 1 species